rnacentral:rRNA from 1 species
GACGAACCGUGCGAACGUUGUUCGGAUUCACUGGGCUUAAAGGGCGCGUAGGCGGACGGUCAAGUCAGGGGUGAAAUCUUUCAGCUCAACUGGAAAAGUGCCUUUGAUACUGGGUAUCUCGAGUCCGGAAGAGGUGAGUGGAAUUCCGAGUGUAGAGGUGAAAUUCGUAGAUAUUCGGAGGAACACCAGUGGCGAAGGCGGCCAUCUGGACCAGUACUGACGCUGAGGCACGAAAGCGUGGGGAGCAAACAGG